rnacentral:rRNA from 1 species
AUACGUAGGGGGCGAGCGUUGUCCGGAAUUACUGGGCGUAAAGGGCGUGUAGGCGGUCAGUUAAGUCAGGUGUGAAAACUCUGGGCUUAACCGAGAGGUUGCAUCUGAAACUGACUGACUUGAGGGUAGGAGAGGGAAGUGGAAUUCCUAGUGUAGCGGUGAAAUGCGUAGAUAUUAGGAGGAACACCAGUGGCGAAGGCGACUUUCUGGCCUAACCCUGACGCUGAGGCGCGAAAGCGUGGGGAGCAAACAGGAUUAGCUACCCUGGUAGUCCACGCCGUAAACGAUGGGUACUAGGUGUAGGAGGUAUCGACCCCUUCUGUGCCGUAGCAAACGCAUUAAGUACCCCGCCUGGGGAGUACGGCCGCAAGGCUGAA